rfam:Schistosoma curassoni strain Dakar, Senegal genome assembly, scaffold: SCTD_scaffold0000340
ACACUGCUGAGGAGUCCCACAAUAGGACGAAAUAGCCAUCUAGUGC